rnacentral:rRNA from 1 species
GAUUUCUGACGAACCGGAGUGGCCCGUUUCCUCUCUGGGAAUGAGUGCCGCUUUGAGUUUGUCAUCCUUCCAGAGAGCUGCGUCUACCGUUUACUCGGCCGGACGUAUGCGAUCUGGAUCUAUUACUUUGAAAAAAUUAGAGUGUUUCAAGCAGGCGUUUUGCUAUGAAUACAUUAGCAUGGAAUAAUGAGUUAGGACUUCGGUUCUAUUUUGUUGGUUUCUAGGACUGAAGUAAUGAUUGAUAGGGAUAGUUGGGGGUGCUAGUAUUCAGCGGCCAGAGGUGAAAUUCUUGGAUUCGCUGAAGACUAACUUAUGCGAAAGCAUU